GGGUGCGAUCAUACCAGCACUAAUGCACCGGAUCCCAUCAGAACUCCGAAGUUAAACUUGCUUGGGCGAGAGUAGUACUAAGAUGGGUGACCUCUUGGGAAGUCCUCGUGUUGCACCCC
rnacentral:rRNA from 1 species